UGGUAAUGCCGGAUGCUCCAUCACACCGCAUGGUGUGUUGGGAAAGCCUUUGCGGCAUGGGAUGGGGUCGCGUCCUAUCAGCUUGAUGGCGGGGUAACGGCCCACCAUGGCUUCGACGGGUAGCCGGCCUGAGAGGGCGACCGGCCACAUUGGGACUGAGAUACGGCCCAGACUCCUACGGGAGGCAGCAGUGGGGAAUAUUGCACAAUGGGCGCAAGCCUGAUGCAGCGACGCCGCGUGAGGGAUGGAGGCCUUCGGGUUGUAAACCUCUUUUAUCAGGGAGCAAGGCUUCGGUUGAGUGUACCUGUUGAAUAAGCACCGGCUAACUACGUGCCAGCAGCCGCGGUAAUACGUAGGGUGCAAGCGUUAUCCGGAAUUAUUGGGCGUAAAGGGCUCGUAGGCGGUUCGUCGCGUCCGGUGUGAAAGUCCAUCGCUUAACGGUGGAUCCGCGCCGGGUACGGGCGGGCUUGAGUGCGGUAGGGGAGACUGGAAUUCCCGGUGUAACGGUGGAAUGUGUAGAUA
rnacentral:rRNA from 1 species